GAUGAACGCUGGCGGCGUGCCUAAUACAUGCGAGUCGAGCGAACAGACGAGGAGCUUGCUCCUCUGACGUUAGCGGCGGACGGGUGAGUAGCACGUGGAUAACCUACCUAUAAGACUGGGAUAACUUCGGGAAACCGGAGCUAAUACCGGAUAAUAUAUUGAACCGCAUGGUUCAAUAGUGAAAGACGGUUUUGCUGUCACUUAUAGAUGGAUCCGCGCCGCAUUAGCUAGUUGGUAAGGUAACGGCUUACCAAGGCAACGAUGCGUAGCCGACCUGAGAGGGUGAUCGGCCACACUGGAACUGAGACACGGUCCAGACUCCUACGGGAGGCAGCAGUAGGGAAUCUUCCGCAAUGGGCGAAAGCCAGACGGAGCAACGCCGCGUGAGUGAUGAAGGUCUUCGGAUCGUAAAACUCUGUUAUUAGGGAAGAACAAAUGUGUAAGUAACUAUGCACGUCUUGACGGUACCUAAUCAGAAAGCCACGGCUAACUACGUG
rnacentral:rRNA from 1 species